CCUCCCAUCUUCCACUGCCUCCCGGAGUUGGGUCAAAUUCAUGUUGGUCGCUUCGAUGACACUGUCCAACCAUCUUGUCCUCUGUUGUCCCCUUCUCCUCUUGCCUUCACUUUCCCAACAUCAGGGUCUUUUCCAGGGAGUCUUCUCUUCUCAUGAGAUGGCCAAAGUAUUGGAGCCUCAGCUUCAGGAUCUGCCCUUCCAGUGAGCACUCAGGAUUGAUUUCCUUCAGAACGGAUAGGUUUGUUCUCUUUGCAGUCCAGGGGACUCUCAAGACCAUCCUCUAGCACCACAGUUCAAAAGAAUCAAUUCUUCGGCAGUCAGCUUUCUUUAUGGUCCUGCUCUUACUUCAUAGUAAAAACGGUGAUAGCCACAAAUUUAUAAACAUUUUUUAAAAUUCCCUAGUAGUUUAAAUAAAACAAAGUCCAAUUUAUACCUGUAAGUGUAGCUAAUGGAAUGGUAAAACCAACAGUGCAGGCAAAGGAUGGUUUCCUGUUGUAUUAUUAAAUUUUAGGUAGUUGCAGGGUAUUGAGGAAGAGAGGUUAAAUUCGUGUACUGCAAUGUACACUCAUAGAAUGUAAUGUAUUAAUCUAUUGCAGUAGAAAAAGCAUUGUAAACAGACUUCCCAUUUUAGAUGGGGCUGCCUCUAUGAAAAAGGAAACGAUUUGCAGGCUUCAAAUAAACAAUUAGGUAUCUAAAAUCAGUUAAAACCCAAAUAAUCCUUAGGUGCAUGUCUUGCUUCAGGAACCUAACUUUGCUUUUAUUCGCACAUCACGUGUAUAUGAGAGAUCCAGGCAAGGGUUGGGUCCAGCAUCAGCAUCACUUUCGCAUUCCCUUAAACAAAUUAGGUCGCGAUGAUCUGCAACGUGAACCCUUUCCCCGGAAGAAAACCCCCACUGAGUUCAAGGGGACUUUCCUCCGCGUAAACCAGGUUCUUCUGAAUGUUUGCCCUCACCACACCCGCGUUUGUCAACCCUCCAUCCCCCUCCUCCCCGCGGGCAGCUUCGCAAAAACACCGUGCCUCUUUAACCCCCCCCCGGCAGACAGAAGCAGCUGCACUGAGGCAGCCGAUCGAUGUCUUCCUGUGCUGCUGAGCGACCUUUCCCGGCGCUUCUUGCUAGAGAGAGAGCCUAGGCAGCCGGGCAAAGCCAGCUUCCGCCUUGUCGGAGACCUCGCGCCCGCUCGUAGCCACGCCCCCGCCCACCAGCACUCCUUGUUUGCCGGGCUAGACAGAGUGAAACAGGCAGGCAGCCAUUCAUUGAAAGAAAGGUGCCAGCCUCCCCACCCAUACAAGCAAGAGACAAUGCAGUGA
rnacentral:lncRNA from 1 species